AACGAACGCUGGCGGCAGGCUUAACACAUGCAAGUCGAACGGCAGCACGGGGGCAACCCUGGUGGCGAGUGGCGAACGGGUGAGUAAUGCAUCGGAACGUGCCCUGUCGUGGGGGAUAACACAUCGAAAGAUGUGCUAAUACCGCAUACGACCUGAGGGUGAAAGCGGGGGACCGUAAGGCCUCGCGCGAUAGGAGCGGCCGAUGUCUGAUUAGCUAGUUGGUGGGGUAAAGGCCUACCAAGGCGACGAUCAGUAGCUGGUCUGAGAGGACGACCAGCCACACUGGGACUGAGACACGGCCCAGACUCCUACGGGAGGCAGCAGUGGGGAAUUUUGGACAAUGGGUGCAACCCUGAUCCAGCCAUGCCGCGUGCGGGAAGAAGGCCUUCGGGUUGUAAACCGCUUUUGGCAGGAACGAAACGGUGCGGGCGAAUACCCUGUGCUAAUGACGGUACCUGCAGAAUAAGCACCGGCUAACUACGUGCCAGCCGCCGCAGUAAAAC
rnacentral:rRNA from 1 species